rnacentral:rRNA from 1 species
UACGAAGGGUGCAAGCGUUAAUCGGAAUUACUGGGCGUAAAGGGUGCGUAUGCGGUCUGUUAAGUUGGAUGUGAAAGCCCCGGGCUCAACCUGGGAAUGGCAUCCAAAACUGGCAGGCUGGAGUGCGGUAGAUGAUGGUGGAAUUCCCGGUGUAGCGGUGAAAUGCGUAGAGAUCGGGAGGAACACCAGUGGCGAAGGCGGGUAACUGGACUGCAACUGACGCUGAGGCGCGAAAGCGUGGGGAGCAAACAGGAUUAGAUACCCUGGUA